GUGAACAUGUGACUUCCUGCCAUCCCUGCGCACGGAGCAGUCCACGAAACUUGGCAUGUCCUCCUGUCCUCCUCACGUCUGGCCAGAGGACAUCUAGAGAAGUUUGCUCCACAAUGCUGUGGUCAUUGGAGGCUGAGGUGGAACCUUGACAGCUUGCUAUCUCCAGCACGUCAGCAUACCUUGGACCUGUAACAUCCUGUUCACCUACUGCUAAGGUCGUCUCCUCAACCUUCUCGUCGUCACAAAGCCAUGUCCCAAACCCUUUGGAACCCUUUUGCCAACCAAACACCAUCAGAGAAAGACUCCCAAAGUGGGUCUUCUCUUCAUCAACCUGGAUCAGCAUACAGCUCUUUUGGGGAUCUGUCAGGCACUUCUGAGAUGUACCCGAGACCAGUACCUCAUUGCUGGCCAGAACCUAGCACGGUCCCUAGCAGUGAGGCCAGCCUGAGGUCUAUGGACCUGCACGUGAGACAAGUUAAAGGAGAGGUGAAGGAUCACAGCAAACCUUUGCAUCAGCUUUCACAUCAAAGCAUUCAAGGGACUGAGUUCCUCCCAUUGGGUGAACGGACCACCUCUUCAAGAUCGCUUGACCCCACCACAGCUUAUGGAGGUGACUCAUUCUUCAGUUACUUGCCUGGAGCUAAAAGAGAUUAUCAGUCCAUUCCGGGAUUGGGCGAUGGUGACGAUUGUAUGUCAGAUGAACCUGCAGCUCCACCUGAGUCCAGCCCACCCAAAUACAGCCCUGAGUUGGCCACCGACAUCCUUCAACGCUUUGGACUUGAAAAGGAAGACAUGGAAAUUCUGCUGUUGUACCCUGAAGACCAGAUCACGCCUGCUCGUUUACCGUUCAUCCUCCGCCAAAUACGCAUUCAGAAAGCCACAAAGGCUGCUGCCACGGCUACAGCCAUCACAGCUACUGCCGCCACGGCUACAGCCAUCACAGCUACUGCCGCCACGGCUACAGCCGUCACAGCUACUGCCGCCACGGCUACAGCCGUCACAGCUACUGCCGCCACGGCUACAGCCGUCACAGCUACUGCCGCCACGGCUACAGCCACCAGGGCUACUGCCGUCACAGCUACAGCCACCACAGCUACAGCCAUCACAGCUACUGCCACCACGGCUACAGCCAUCACAGCUACUGCCGCCACGGCUACAGCCAUCACAGCUAGUGCCGCCACGGCUACAGCCAUCACAGCUACAGCCACCACAGCUACAGCCACCAGGGCUACUGCCGUCACAGCUACUGCCGCCACGGCUACAGCCAUCACAGCUACUGCCACCACGGCUCCAGCCACCAGGGCUACUGCCACCACAGCUACUGCCGUCACAGCUACUGCCGUCACAGCUAGUGCCGCCAUGCCUACAGCCGUCACAGCUACUGCCGCCACGGCUACAGCUGCCACAGUUACUGCCGCCACGGCUACAGCCGUCACAGCGACUGCCGCCAUGGCUACAUCUGCCACCCCAGCUGCCCCAACUGCCCCAACUGCUGUCAUGGCUGCAGUCGUCACGGCUACUGCCGCCACAGCUACAGCCGUCAAUGCAAGAGUCGCAACAGCUGCCAUGGCUACAGCCACCAUCGCCACAUCUGCCACCCCAGCUGCCCCAACAGCCACCACGGCUGCCACCACAGAUAAAUCCAAAGUAUUACCUCAACCAGUACCCUGGUUUUCUAACCCUGCUGGAAGUGACAAUCUGAAGCGUUUUGGAACAAAGGCUGAGAGCAACACUUUGGCUUCCCAGGCUGCUUCUUCUCGAGAAGACCAGAAGAGUUCCAGCUCUUCUCUCAGCUCCGUGGUCACCGUUGUGGCUCCCAAAAGUCCCGAUCCAGUCCACCCAGUGCAGAGCUGUUCCUUGACAGGCAAAGACACAGGUCUCCAACAAGCAGCAUCCAAAACAAUUCCUUUGAAACAACUGAAAGGUCAUUGCGGACCAAAAGCCAUCACUUCAAUCCAUCGUGUGCAUUCCAGUCGACCCAGCCUGUUGCUCAUUUGCUGUAACGACAACAAUGAUGCUAACGGACCCAGGAAGAGUCAAGACUCACAGGAACCGCAACAACCUCGAAUCUUUCAGUCGGAACAAGAACAGACAAAUGUGGAAAAGCCUCACCGAAAGCCUGAAGAAAAUCAGCAAAUGCCAAAGAACCGACCACAUACACCAAACGAGGACCAAGAUACAUCAGACAAUCAACUAGAUUCAUUAGGUAAACGAGAUGCGUCAAAGAAACCGCAGGAUGGUUGUAGUCGACUGGUGCAACCCGUCUAUAGCAUCACCGCUAAGGUGUCAUGUCCAAGUCAGCCUCCGACUGCUGUGACCUCCAGUCGACCGUCCCCGAGUGGAGCACCCACCAGUAGAGCACCCACCAGUAGAGCACCCCUUUUGUUCACCCCGCCCACAGCCGCCAAGAUGUCUGACAGUGCUGUGGCCGUACCAAGAGUCAUUCCACACACGUCUUGUCUGUAUAACAAAGAUGGACUCAGUCACCAGAACACCAGCCAGCACCUCGACAGCUUCACAAACACCUGCAAGAACUCACCUCAGCAACAAGCUCAUCUCAGCAGCAAGCCAGCCUCAACUUCCCAGAAAGCCAGGAGACUUUCAUCGUCCCCUUGCACCUCCAAACGCGCUCACAGGUCUUAUUCCUCAUCCUCUGACCACCAUCGAUCACGAUCCCGAAGCUAUGAGAGAUCGUCGUCGCCCGCCAGUCGCAAGAAGAGGCGGAGUCGAGAGAGACGAAGGCGUUCUCCACACAGGAGCCGCAGGUCUCUGACUCGUUCGCCUGCAUCGUCCCGUGACAGCUGUCGUUCACGCUCCAGGAGCAAAAAUAAAAGGAGGAGCCCAGAGAGACCACGACGUCCUGCGAGUCGAUUUACUCGCAGGUCUCCUUCUCGUCCACGUGCAUCCUCCUCUGACAGCUCUCGUUCACGCUCCAGGAGCCGGGAAAGACGAUACUCAUCAGCAGGAAACCGUCGGAGAACAUCCCCGCGGAGAAGGAGCCCCAAAAAGCGCUCAUCGCCGGGAAUGAGCAGAGACAGACAUGCAUCUUCCAGGAGGUCCACCAAAAGUCGUUCCUCACCAAGAAGGAGUCAUGAUGCAAAAGCUUCAGAAAGGUCGAGCAGUGUAGAGCAUCUUGCCAAGAAGGUGUUGGAAAAAUCAGCGAUCCAAUCUCUGCCGAACCAGACGGAUCUGGAAACAGUGGUGAAAACUCUGGCUCCCGCUCUGCUGGCUGAACUGAUGAAGAUGAAGUCCUUCUCUUCGAUUGGUCCGUCCUCAUCCUCGUCUGCAGACAAGAAAAAGGAUGCGACCCAAGCGCCAAGUUCAUCUUCCACGAAGGAUGGGUGCAAGUCAUCGCCCCUGACAACGGUGACGCUGAAGGCGAAUAGUAACAACCUCUCCAGCGGUGACGUGAAGUCUGCUGCUGAGAACUUUGGCAAAACCAAGUCGGUUACGUUGCUUCCUGCCAAAGGCGAGGUACGGUACUUGCAUGAUGAAGGGGCUACACUGAGGUGGUCGACCAUCAUCCACGUUUAGUGACGUUAGUAUGGACACAUGCAGGCCAUUGUGUGUUUUGAGCGAGAGGAGGCCGCCAAGAAGAUGAUGGACAUGAAGAACUUGCAUGAGAGCAUCGGCAAGGAGCCAAACACAACCGUUCCUAAAAGCCAGGCAACGGUCUCCAAAGCCAAAGCAAAGAAAGUCCCAAAGACGGUGAAAGGAGCUCAG